ACAUGACUUUUGGAGAAGAUAUUAAACCAUAGCAGUCACCACAGCUUGAUUUUGGAUGCAUGAGACAGUAUGUUGUGGGUAAGGUCAUGGGCUGUAGAGUCAGAAUGACUGGGUGUAGAGCUCACUUGCAUGACUUUACAAGCUGUGUGAGCUUGGCAGACUACAAAGCUUCCUUAACCUUCAAAUCCUGCUUCUGCAAACAGAGGUGAUCGUGAGGCUUCUAUCAGAAACUUUUCCAAUCUCUGAUCUAGAACACUUGAUUUCUUCUAUGCUAGAAGACAGUCUGAGGUUUCAACUGGAAAAGCCCCAGGGACAGGAUGGAUAAUUUCUAAAGAUCUUUGUAUAUUACAAAUGGAACAAAGAAAGCUCUUACGGGUUGUCAGCUGCAGAAAAUUACUUUAUAAGGCAAGGGAGAUUCAGGAAUUGCAUCUCCAGAAAUUCCAAAAAAUAAGAAGAACAAGAUGUCUAUCUUCUAGGCAUGGGUAUAGGAAGUCACUGCCCACC